GGGUCAGUAGGUUGGUCGUGCCACCGGUACGUACCGGUCUCACUGAUUCCUCCUUCCUGAAGAGCCGUAAUGCCAUUAAUUUGGUGUUGCGGGGAAACAGGACUGUUACUUUGAAAAAAUUAGAGUGUUUAAAGCAAGCUAACGCUUGAAUACAUUAGCAUGGAAUAAUGAAAUAGGACGAUCGAUCCUAUUUUGUUGGUUUCUAGGAUUGACGUA
rnacentral:rRNA from 1 species